rnacentral:rRNA from 1 species
AGGCUUAACACAUGCAAGUCGAGCGCCCCGCAAGGGGAGCGGCCCAGGGGUGAGUAACGCGUGGGAACGUACCCUUUACUACGGAAUAACGCAGGGAAACUUGUGCUAAUACCGUAUGUGCCCUUCGGGGGAAAGAUUUAUCGGUAAAGGAUCGGCCCGCGUUGGAUUAGCUAGUUGGUGGGGUAAAGGCCUACCAAGGCGACGAUCCAUAGCUGGUCUGAGAGGAUGAUCAGCCACAUUGGGACUGAGACACGGCCCAAACUCCUACGGGAGGCAGCAGUGGGGAAUAUUGGACAAUGGGCGCAAGCCUGAUCCAGCCAUGCCGCGUGAGUGAUGAAGGCCCUAGGGUUGUAAAGCUCUUU